UCUUCGGGGGUAGAGCACUGUUUCGGCUAGGGGGUCAUCCCGACUUACCAACCCGAUGCAAACUACGAAUACCGAAGAAUGUUAUCACGGGAGACACACGGCGGGUGCUAACGUCCGUCGUGAAGAGGGAAACAACCCAGACCGCCAGCUAAGGUCCCAAAGUCAUGGUUAAGUGGGAAACGAUGUGGGAAGGCACAGACAGCCAGGAUGUUGGCUUAGAAGCAGCCAUCAUUUAAAGAA
rnacentral:rRNA from 1 species